GACGAACGCUGGCGGCGUGCUUAACACAUGCAAGUCGAACGGAAAGGCCCUGCUUUUGUGGGGUUCUCGAGUGGCGAACGGGUGAGUAACACGUGAGUAACCUGCCCUUGACUUUGGGAUAACUUCAGGAAACUGGGGCUACUACCGGAUAGGAGCUCCUGCUGCAUGGUGGGCGUUGGAAAGUUUCGGCGUUUGGGGAUGGACUCGCGGCUUAUCAGCUUGUUGGUGGGGUAGUGGCUUACCAAGGCUUUGACGGGUAGACGGCCUGAGAGGGUGACCGGCCACAUUGGGACUGAGAGGCGGCCCAGACGCCUAAGGGAGGCAGCAGUGGGGAAUAUUGCACAAUGGGCGGAAGCCUGAUGCAGCAACGCCGCGUGCUGGAUGACGGCCUUCGGGUUGUAAACCGCUUUCGCCUGUGACGAAGCGUGAGUGACGGUAAUGGGUAAAGAAGCACCGGCUAACUACGUG
rnacentral:rRNA from 1 species